rnacentral:rRNA from 1 species
CAACUUUUGACCUCGGAUCAGGUAGGGAUACCCGCUGAACUUAAGCAUA